rnacentral:RNase_P_RNA from 1 species
CCUGGUCCCUGGACGGCCGCCGGCAGGAUCUCCUGCGGGAGGAAAGUCCGGGCUCCUCAGGGCAAGGUGGUGGGUAACGCCCACCGUUCGCAAGAGCAGGGAAAGUGCCACAGAAAACAAACCGCCGGACGUCCCCAGCUCUCCUGGGGAGACGGUAAGGAUGAAACGGUGGGGUAAGAGCCCACCGCGCUCCGCACGAGCGGGGCGGCACGGCAAACCCCACCUGGAGGAAGACCGAGUAGGAGGAUCGCGCGGCCCGCGCUCAGGUCCUCGGGUAGGUCGUUUGCGGUCACCUGCGAGGGUGACCCUAGAGAAAUGGUCGUCACCGCCUUCGGGCGGCACCAGAACCCGGCUUACGGGGAUCAGGCUUA